AAGACGCAGACCAGGAAGACCAAGAGCGAUAUGGAAAGAUGCAAUUGAGUCUGAUCUAAAAGUACUAAGAGUGAGCGACUGGAGAACGUUGGCGCGGAAUAGGUCCGAUUGGAGAAGAUUGCUGGAAGAGGCCAAAACCAAUAGUAGGUUGUAGUGCCCACCUAAGUAAGUAAAAAUAAAUUUUCAAAAUC